rnacentral:rRNA from 1 species
UUUCCAGAGAUGGAUUGGUGCCUUCGGGAACUCUGACACAGGUGCUGCAUGGCUGUCGUCAGCUCGUGUCGUGAGACUGUUCGGGUUAAGUCCCGUAACGAGCGCAACCCUUGUCCUUAGUUACCAGCACGGUUAUGGUGGGCACUCUAAGGAGACUGCCGGUGACAAACCGGAGGGAGGCGGGGAUGACGUCAAGUCAUCAUGGCCCUUACGGCCUGGGCUACACACGUGCUACAAUGGUCGGUACAAAGGGUUGCCAAGCCGCGAGGUGGAGCUAAUACCCAUAAAACCGAUCGUAGUCCGGAUCGCAGUCUGCAACUCGACUGCGUGAAGUCGGAAUCGCUAGUAAUCGUGAAUCAGAAUGUCACGGUGAAUACGUUCCCGGGCCUU